CCUACGGGUGGCAGCAGUGGGGAAUAUUGCACAAUGGGGGAAACCCUGAUGCAGCGACGCCGCGUGAGUGAAGAAGUAUUUCGGUAUGUAAAGCUCUAUCAGCAGGGAAGAAAUAAAGUCCUUCGGACUUUGGACGGUACCUGACUAAGAAGCCCCGGCUAACUACGUGCCAGCAGCCGCGGUAAUACGUAGGGGGCAAGCGUUAUCCGGAUUUACUGGGUGUAAAGGGAGCGUAGACGGCAGCGCAAGUCUGGAGUGAAAGGCCGGGGCCCAACCCCGGGACCGCUCUGGAAACUGCCCGGCUGGAGUGCGGGAGAGGUAAGCGGAAUUCCUAGUGUAGCGGUGAAAUGCGUAGAUAUUAGGAGGAACACCAGCGGCGAAGGCGGCUUACUGGACCGUGACUGACGUUGAGGCUCGAAAGCGUGGGGAGCAAACAGGAUUAGAUACCCCAGUAGUC
rnacentral:rRNA from 1 species